rnacentral:tRNA from 1 species
GAGGGCGUAGCUCAGUGGUAGAGGGCAUGUUUGGCACGCAUGAGGUCAUGGGCUCGAUCCCCAGUCCCUCU